GCGGCUGAAGAGGCUGCGGCGCGCUCAGGAGACCCGCGGCGCCGCUGCCCUUGAGCGGGCCUGCGCCUCCGUGAGGGAAGAGUUGCUGCCAGUGCUGCAGUUUUCUGAACCUGGGAAACGUGCUGUUCAGACUUCAUCCGGGUCUCAUUCAGGAUGCUUCGAUGUUGGUUGGAAGAGAGUUAGACCGAAAAUGUUUUGACUGGCGUCGUUAUGACAAGGUCAUCCGUCAUUGUUGGAUAGAUUGAUAGCACCCAAGUUUAAGGCAGACACCACGAGGGAAAGCCCACGGCGCUGUGGUCCCGGAGGCUAACCAGGCAGUGUCCGCAGACCUCCAGCAACUCCAUCGGGAGGAGAGGAUGAAGUUCCAGGCCCGUUUCAAUUAAUCUGCUCGCAGAACUGCCGAAGAGUGGCUUGUCGGGCCACGGGAGAAGAAACAAAUGCUCUUUCUCACACUCUCCUGGUUCAUUGCUGAGAAACCAGGACACUCCUCUGUUCCCUGGGAGAGACAGUGAACUCCAGGGAUGGAAGUCCGGACUCCGGCGGCGGUCCCGUCAUUUGCCUUCUUGUUUCUGCCCAAACCCAGCUAGUUCCAAGCGCUUGGUCCCCAAGACUGGAAGUCCCCAAGAACCUACCUCUACCUGUCCCAACCCUGCCUCCCCCCUACCCUUUCACCCCCUGCCACCAUUAGAAAGUCUCUGGAUUUUGAAAUGCUAGUUGCAGCAGCUGCUUCCGUGGCCUCAUGCCGCCCACACUCUGGGAAGCGGAGGAGGGAGGGUUCCUCUCGUAAUAAGAUUAGCUGACCUGUUAAUGAGAGUUUUGGACGUGCCGGGCGGGGGUAGGCGCUUUAUGUCCAUUUAAUCCACCUACAUGCGGAGAAGGCAUUAUCAUUAACCCCCAUAUUGUAGAUGGGGACCGCUGAGGUUCGGAAAGUUUAGAUGGGUUGCCUAAGGUCACGCCAUUAAUGAGUAAUGGAGACGGAUUCAAAUACCGUUCGGUAAGGUGCCAAGUGCAUCUUCUGCCUACCCUAGUCCAACCUGUAGCCACUCGGUCCAGACUGACGCCAGAGGGGCUAUCAUGGGAGAGAUUUGGUUCCCCUCGCUGCGGGGUCCAGGGAAGAAGCUGAGAAGGUAGCAAAGUCCCCCUCGCCCACUACGUCUACAGGUGGCGUACCUGGGUAAUCCGAUUCAAGCUUCCGCCACACCCACCCCGGGCACAAGUCGAUCCCGAGGCUUACGGGACCCUAAGGCCCAGAGGCUACAGGAACCUCCCGUGAAGGGGGCAGGAGAAAGUUUGAGGGAGAGCCCUGAAGGUCCGGGAGCGAACGAAAAAGUCUGGAAGGGAAUAGACCAGGAGUCAGGACCUCCCCUGCACCUCCCCAGCAGGCCCACUGCGCCGAGCGGGGCCCCUGCCUCCACCGCGGCUUCCGGGAUGCCCGCAGAGCUCGGCAUCCUCACCCGGUGCGCACAAGGGCGCGCAGCGGCGUAAGCUGGACCCCCGACGCUGCGCGCGCUCUGAGGGGCGCUUCCCCCUCACACAGUUGACCCUGGGCCCGCUUGGUCACGGCCACCCUGGCGCAUCUCAAUAGUUUUUAGAAAGUGAGCCCACCGACGGCAAGGACAUGCACCCCCUCAAAUCCGCUUCCCCCACCCCCUUCAAUACUGAGAAGACCACGGAAACAAAUCACUUCGACCACUUAGAAAGCGAUCAAACCUUUAUAAAAAUCCAUCGCUCCCAAAUCGAUGGGUGAAUAUUUGCUGGGAAUUUGUUCCAGAGGAAUAAAUGAGGAGCCUUGAGUGUAUUAAAUGCAAACGGGGGGACACGGUGGUGUUUUUCUUCAUUGAUUAAUGACCUCUAAAAUAAAACAAGUGGGAAGAGGAGCCAGGAUCGAUAAAUUACCCAAAUUCAUCAUUUUCUCGAGCAUUUUCGCCCCGAAAAUUAUCCUUGGGAAGCCCAUUGUACCCUGAGCUGGGAGGGGAAGGAUGUAGCUGGAGGCCAGGGUAGGGAGGGAGCAGCAGAAGGGGUAGGAGGAGAGAAGGGGGUUCUGUCCAGGAGACCCUCUAUCUGAUUCCGUUUAACAUACAAUUCAAAAGUUUGCCUUUCAUAUUAUUUUUUCUUGAUGGGGGAGUGGAACAAAUGGUCGGUUGCCUUUGACAGGACUCCAAUAAAGGAUUCAGCAGCUCUCCGCUCUGCCCUGGGUGCUCCUGCUUCUAGUAGGUUUAAGGUCACGGGUGGCUGAGUUAAUA
rnacentral:lncRNA from 10 species